UACGUAGGGGGCUAGCGUUGUCCGGAAUCAUUGGGCGUAAAGAGCGUGUAGGCGGCCCGGUAAGUCCGCUGUGAAAGUCGGGGGCUCAACCCUCGAAUGCCGGUGGAUACUGUCGGGCUAGAGUGCGGAAGAGGCGAGUGGAAUUCCCGGUGUAGCGGUGAAAUGCGCAGAUAUCAGGAGGAACACCGAUGGCGAAGGCAGGUCUCUGGGCCAUAACUGACGCUGAGAAGCGAAAGCAUGGGGAGCGAACAGG
rnacentral:rRNA from 1 species